GUGAGAUUAACUGAAGCCCUCAAGAAGAGCGGUAAGGUCAUUUUUGGAAUCCAGGAGGAAGAUAAAGGAAGAUGUCAGGGAGAGAGGAGAUCGUGAGCUGAAGAGGCUGCCCCCCCCCCUCACUUAGGGUUCAGCUCGAGGUGGCAUCGGAUCUGCCCAUUGGAUUCUGCACCAACACACCUGUCAUACCGUAUGACGUUGCUGGACCUAGUUUCUUCAGAGCAUCCAUCACUCUUGGAAAUGAUCUGACAUACUCGGAAUGGAUAAAACAUAAUAAAAACCAGGAAAAAAAUUUAUCGGCAAGACCCAAACAAAGAUGUACAGCUUCAUGCCAUUGCCAUCAAAAUGGGGUAGGAUGCCAAGAAG